GCCUGGGUGGCUCAGUCGGUUGAGCAUCCGACUUUGGCUCAGGUCGUUUCGUGGGUUCGAGCCCCGUGCCGGGCU
rnacentral:tRNA from 1 species